ensembl:lncRNA
GUAACUGUCACAGCGUUCAAGCCCCACGUAAACAGCGCUCUCUCCCUUUGCCCCUCCUCAAGAACAGAAACGGAAGGGCUGAAAUUCACACCUUCCUCCGACAGCUCGGGUCCUCGGCAAACCCUGGCCCUGGACCCAGUCCUGCUUCAGCCUGGAGUUCAAAAUCUCCAACAUACACACUCGAGGGAAGUAGAUGGCUCUCCCUAGGACCAGGGAUGGAUCCGGGUUUUGUGUUUGUUUUGUUGUGGUGGUGGUGCUAGGGAUGGAACCCAGUGCUUUACCAUCAAGCUGCAUCCUCAGCCCUAGAUCCAGGUUUUCAAGGAACUGACACUUAAAUAAUUUGAGAAAGCCUUCUUUAAAAAAGCAUAUAAAGAGGCCAGGAAUUUAGUUCAUUGGUGCCGCUACCUGGCUCGAAAGCGCAAGAUCCUGAGUUCGAUCCCCGGUACCAAAAAAAAAAAAAAAACAUAUAAAGGCCAGGUGUGGUGUUGCACGCCUAUAAUCCCAGCACUUGGGAGGUUGAGGCAGGAGGAUCACCACAAGUUCGAGACCAGCCCGGGCUACAUAGUGAGUUCAGGAGCACCUGAACUAAAAGCCCCUUCCCCCAAAAUUAAAAAAUAAAUAAAAAACAUAUAAAGCCGGGGAUUCAGCUCAGUGGCGCUGCACCUGCCUUGCAAGCACAAGGUCCUGAGUUUGAUCCCAGGUACCUAAAAAAUAAAUAAAGCAUAUAAAAUUAUGUGUAUAAAAUUAGAUAUAAAGGAAAAACAGCCUGGUGGUGAACACCUGUAAUCCCAGGUCUCUAGGACGCAGGAGGAUUGCAAAUUUGAGUACAGUCUGGGCAAUUUAGCAAUUUAGACCCUGUCUCAAAAUUGAAAAAUAACAAAAUGUUUAAAAGCGCUAGGGAUGUAGCUCAGUGCAAAGGCUCUCUAUUCGAUCUCCUGUACCGGGGGAAAAACAAGACAUAAAGGUGAAUAUGGUUGCAAGUGAGAAGAGAAAUCCCAAACAAUGAUGGCGGCUGACAGCCAGACUCCACGUCAGCCUCAUGACACGGCGGUCCUUUGCACCAUACCAGGGUGGGCUGUGCGACAGCAGGAUCUGGCAGAAGUGAUGGCAGGGGAUGGCACUGCAGCUUCUGUCCUGCCCUCUCUCUCCUAAGGCCCUCGCUCAGCCAGGAGGCCGUGGCUGUCUGGGUAGUGAGGCAGAAACCUCCAGGCACGGCCUCACCAGCGAGCUCAGAAACUGGUCCUGCAGGGCCAGCUGCCCGGCCAGCAGCCUCAGCCAGACUCACCAAGCCAAGGCCCAAGCCCAGACACAUGGAGGUCCCUGCUCCUCGUCACGGGACAGCUUGUCACGAAGCCAGGAGAGCUGCUGCCAGAGCUUCAGAGGCUCUUGUGCUUUUCUUCUGAGAGCCCUUAGCGAUUGAACUCUGGUCCUUGUGCUUGCAAGGCAGGCGGCGGAACCACUGAGCUAAAUCCCUGGCCCCAUGUCUUAGGAUUCUUGACAGCAACUGACAGAAACCAAGAUCAACUUGGCUUAUGGAAAGGAGAGUCACAGGUGCACUCAACAGCAAGGGUACUGGUGGCACCAACUUCAGAUGUGGUGGAGGAGCCGUUGCCAGCAACUCUGAGACCUGGGAAGAGGCUGGAGACUCCAGGCAGCCAAGGGAGAGGCUUCCUAAAGUCGAUGCGAGAGCCUGGCAGGCUGACUGGUGGAAUAAGCUCAGGCCCAGUGGAGGUGACAGGAAGUCUCAAUGGACAGCCCUUUCCGGAUGGGAGGCCCACCCAGGAGACAGGGCCAAGUCCCCAGAGCUCCUGUCAGAAUGGGAGGCACUGCUGCAGCUGGGAGAGGGAAGCGCUUGUGUUCCGACUGGGGUGACCUCCUCCCCCUCCACCAGACCUGUGUGUCCACUGAUUGUCACAGAGAUUGGCCUGAGGCUGACCAAGCGGCCACACCUGGCUCAGAGAGCCUUGUACACGGGAGCAGCAGCAGGAGAGCCAGGUUACAGAGGGCCUUGUAAGCCUCAGUGAGCAUUUCGGUCUUGAACCCUGUGAACUCAGAAGUUACUGCACGGCUGACUCAGGAGACCACAGGAAAUGGCUUCUCUGGGGGCACAGAGCAUCAUAUCAGAAGUUGUGGGCAUUAGCAUAUCAGAGCCAACAGAUAUUCCUGGUUUCCAGGUGUGGAGUGGAAAUUCUGCCUUUAGGACACCAGCUGGCUGGUGUGGUGGUGCACACCUAUAAUCCCAGCACUAGGGAAGAUGAGCCAGGAGGAUCACAUGUUCAAGCCUGGCCUGGGUAAUUUAGCAAGACUAUCUCAAAAAAUGAAAAAAGGGCUGGAUGUAGCUCAGCGCAAAGACUCUGGGUUCAAUCUGCAAUACCACACAUACACAGAAGCCAAAAACCAAAAAAUGCUUUAUUUACAAAAGUCAGUCUAGCUGGGUUUGGUCUGUGGACCUGUUUGCUGAUCUCUAACAUAGAAAGAAUAUAUUAGGAACAUAUAAGGACUUGUAUCAGGAUGUCUAUUGCAUUAUUGUAGUUUGAAGAGGAAAAAAAGCCAAAGACCUGAUACAACCUACACAUCCACCAUUAGUUUAUGAGUUCAGUGUGAUGGUUGAGAAAUCCUGGCAAGUUUAUUCUACAGAUUUAAAGCAAAUGUUCAAGGGAACCAGUGAAUUAUGGGCCUCCUGACUUGGACGAGCAUCUGUAAGGUAUUAGGUGUACACAGCAGUCUGCAGAACAACACAACCGACCUGCACACCUGUCCACGCUGUGGCUCCGUAGGGCCCUGCUGUCACAGAAGGCCCUCCUCCGUCCCUCUGAUGCUGAGCCGGGCCAUGAGGCUCGCUGUGACUGUGGAGUGUUAGCAGGUGUGAGCAGAGCCCAUCCCUGUGCCUGCAUAGUCGCUGCUUGCGUUUUGGCAUUUGGGUGCUGAAGACAGAACACAGAGCCUUGAGCAGGCUAAGCCCAUCCCUCUACCACCAGAGCUCUGCCUCCAGUCCUGCCGUACAUGGUUCCCCGUGGUUUCUGUGCUCCCAGGGGCACCUUUCGAAGAACAUACCCUGAGUGGCCACUAGAGCAAGGUUGACAAGGAGCAGGCGAGGCAAGCCCAGCCCAGGCACCGCAGCCUGAAGCAGAACUGCCCAGCCUGCACCUGCAGAGCCAGGAGCUUAAGAGAAAAGGCUUUGGCCGGGCAUGGUGACGCAUGCCUGGAAUCCCAGCACUCGGAAGGCUGUGGCAGGAGGACCAACUUGAAUUCAAGGCCAGCCUGAUCUACACAGCAAGACCCUGUCCCCCUACAAAAACAAAUAAACAAAAAAGAAUAAAAGCUUAGGUCCAUGUUUUGCUGCUAUAACAAAAUACCAGAGGGGCCGGGGAUUUAGCUCAGUGGUUUCACCGCCUGCUGCGCAAGCACAAGGACCCAAGAUCGAUCCCUGGUACCAAAAAAAAAAACCCAACAAAAUACCAGAGGCUGGGUAAUUCAUAAAGAAAAUAAAUUGUGGGCCAGGUGUGGUAGGGUACCCCUGUAAUCCAGAACUUGAGAGGCUGAGACAGUAGGAUCCCUAUGAAUUUGAGACCAGCCUGGGCUACAUAGGGAGUUCAGAGCCAGCCUGAACUACGUAGAG